rnacentral:rRNA from 1 species
CGCCUGUUUACCAAAAACAUCUGCCUCUUGCAAAUCAAAGCAUAAGAGGUCCCGCCUGCCCUGUGACUAUGGGUUUAACGGCCGCGGUAUUUUGACCGUGCGAAGGUAGCGCAAUCACUUGUCUUUUAAAUGAAGACCUGUAUGAAUGGCAUCACGAGGGCUUAGCUGUCUCCUCUCCCAAGUCAAUGAAAUUGAUCUGCCCGUGCAGAAGCGGACAUAAGUACAUAAGACGAGAAGACCCUAUGGAGCUUUAGACACCAGGCAGAUCACGUCAAGUAAGCUUAAAUUAACAAGUAGAAACGCAGUGACCCCUAGCCCAUAUGUCUUUGGUUGGGGCGACCGCGGGGGAAAAUAAAGCCCCCAUGUGGACUGGGGGCACUGCCCCCACAGCCGAGAGCUACAGCUCUAAGCACCAGAAUUUCUGACCAAAAAUGAUCCGGCGAACGCCGAUCAACGGACCGAGUUACCCUAGGGAUAACAGCGCAAUCCUCUCCCAGAGUCCCUAUCGACGAGGGGGUUUACGACCUCGAUGUUGGAUCAGGACAUCCUAAUGGUGCAGCCGCUAUUAAGGGUUCGUUUGUUCAACGAUUAAAGUCCUACGUGAUCUGAGUUCAGACCGG